UCAACAUCAACGAGAACAACUCCUAUUUUCCCUCAAAACCUCUAACCCAAUCGAUCAUCAACAACAUCAACCACCAGCAAAACCCGAUUCCACCAGCCCCCUCGAUAACCCAUUCACAACAUAUAUCAAUAAUUCGAUAUCGAUGCCACACCCGACCCGUCGAGAAGCGACCUCAACUCGUUGCUUGCAUGUAUCACGCGCCUUACCACGUGGAUUCAUACAAGAAUAGCCUCGAAUCUUCUAGAAUAUGGUGAGUUGGCUCUUUUCAACGUUGAAAUCCCACAAAUCUCGGGUAACCGGUAGGAUUCGUACGUUCGUGGCAAUUUUUGAUUGGUUGAUGAGGGAAUUUCGUUUUCUCAUUCCCUAUUUUCAAAUUAUUAGGAAGAUUCCAAAUAGAGUACUUAUUUUUGAACGAGAAACCCUAAGCUAGAGAGAAAUUUUAAAUUUUUAAAUUUCAAAAUAUCUUUUUUAUUAAAUCCCAAGUUACCCCUAAUUCAUCAUCUAUAUAAGAAUCCAUUGGGUCAUUGUUUAAAAGGGGGGAGAGAGUUCAAAAAUUCUUGGGUGGGGAAAAUUUGGGAGAAAAUUUUAGGUUUUGCUUUGUUUUGAAAAAUUCAAGGUUUCAGAAUUAGAGUUGGAAAUUUUUGGGGUUUAGAAAUAGUGGAGAAAGUCAGGUUGAAAAUAUUAGUUUGAGAGAAAAGUUUUCUGAAAGCUGGUCGAUUCAUUGGGAAUUCCCUAAUCGACAACAUUAACUCCCGGUGGUAACGGUUCCGCUGAUAGCUCGUCGUCUCGUUUUGUUGUCCUUAAGGAGUGGAUUCGAUUUCUCGUCGCAUUCUCUUCACGGCCAUUGAGGCCCAUCAUCUCGAUCGAGUCAACUCCUAGAGAAAUUUCAACAUCGAUCUCAAGACAUACCGAAAACAAGGGAGCCGAAAUAAGAAUGGGGUGAAAGUCCUAUCAUUUGAAGCAGUCAUGAGACCUAAUAGUCUCAUUUAUCAUUUUGUCCAUUUACUUAUUAUCAUCUUUAUUUAUGUAUUUAUUUAUUUUCUUAUGUAUUCAUUUGGGCCUCGAAGCCAAAGUUGUACUUAAUACAGGUGAAGCGAAGCUUGAGCCAAAAGCUGUAAAACAUAGACUAGGACAGGCGAUGUGGGUCAAAGACCCAACUAUAUUAGGACGGGGGCGACGAUUUGAGCAUAAAAAGCCUAAAUCACUAUUUCUCCCUUUUCCCUUUUCCCUUAUUCUUUUCGCUUACUUUUUUUACAUGCUUCUUGCGAGCCUAGCUAAAUCCCUAACUAAGUCGCUAAAAAACUGAUUUUGCAAAAACUUUUUCCCACUCAAUCAUUUUUUCAAAAGUUAGUCAAAAGAAUGUUUUCAAACAGUCCAGAUAACCGCAAGUUAGUAGACGUUUUAGGUGUCUAACA